rnacentral:rRNA from 1 species
AUUGAACGCUGGCGGCAGGCUUAACACAUGCAAGUCGAGCGGGGGAAGGUAGCUUGCUACCGGACCUAGCGGCGGACGGGUGAGUAAUGCUUAGGAAUCUGCCUAUUAGUGGGGGACAACAUCUAGAAAGGGAUGCUAAUACCGCAUACGUCCUACGGGAGAAAGCAGGGGCUCUUCGGACCUUGCGCUAAUAGAUGAGCCUAAGUCGGAUUAGCUAGUUGGGGGGGUAAAGGCCUACCAAGGCGACGAUCUGUAGCGGGUCUGAGAGGAGGAUCCGCCACACUGGGACUGAGACACGGCUCAGACUCCUACGGGAGGCAGCAGUGGGGAAUAUUGGACAAUGGGGGGAACCCUGAUCCAGCCAUGCCGCGUGUGUGAAGAAGGCCUUAUGGUUGUAAAGCACUUUAAGCGAGGAGGAGGCUACUUUAGUUAAUACCUAGAGAUAGUGGACGUUACUCGCAGAAUAAGCACCGGCUAACUCUGUGCCAGCAGCCGCGGUAA